rnacentral:rRNA from 1 species
UACGAGGGGGGCGAGCGUUGUUCGGAAUUAUUGGGCGUAAAGGGUGCGUAGGCGGUUUGGUAGGUCCGCUGUGAAAACUCGAGGCUCAACCUCGAGACGCCGGUGGAAACCAUCAGACUAGAGUCCGGAAGAGGAGAGUGGAAUUCCUGGUGUAGCGGUGAAAUGCGCAGAUAUCAGGAAGAACACCCGUGGCUAAGGCGGCUCUCUAGUACGGUACUGACGCUGAGACGCGAAAGCGUGGGGAGCGAACAGG